rnacentral:misc_RNA from 1 species
AAGAGUUUGGUGCCUUCGGGUACUAUCUCCAACCAAUUGUGAACCAAAUUUGUUGCCUCGACAUCCGAUAGGUACCCAAUCGGUGUACCCAUCCUUCGGUUGCUUGCACCUGAAGAGUGAUGUCUGAGGAUUUUAAACUUCUUUUAAUUAAGUUAUCUGAGUUAAAUCAAUAAAAACA